CCUACGGGCGGCAGCAGUGGGGAAUAUUGCACAAUGGGGGAAACCCUGAUGCAGCGACGCCGCGUGAGUGAAGAAGUAUUUCGGUACGUAAAGCUCUAUCAGCAGGGAAGAAAAAAAGUCCUUUGGACUUUGGACGGUACCUGACCAAGAAGCCCCGGCUAACUACGUGCCAGCAGCCGCGGUAAUACGGAGGGGGCAAGCGUUAUCCGGAUUUACUGGGUGUAAAGGGAGCGUAGACGGCAGCGCAAGUCUGGAGUGAAAUGCCGGGGCCCAACCCCGGAACUGCUUUGGAAACUGUGCAGCUGGAGUGCAGGAGAGGUAAGCGGAAUUCCUAGUGUAGCGGUGAAAUGCGUAGAUAUUAGGAGGAACACCAGUGGCGAAGGCGGCUUACUGGACUGUAAUUGACGCUGAUGCACGAAAGCGUGGGUAUCAAACAGGAUUAGAUACCCUUGUAGUC
rnacentral:rRNA from 1 species